UGGCGGACGGGUGAGUAAUGUCUGGGAAACUGCCUGAUGGAGGGGGAUAACUACUGGAAACGGUAGCUAAUACCGCAUAACGUCGCAAGACCAAAGAGGGGGACCUUCGGGCCUCUUGCCACCGGAUGUGCCCAGAUGGGAUUAGCUAGUAGGUGGGGUAACGGCUCACCUAGGCGACGAUCCCUAGCUGGUCUGAGAGGAUGACCAGCCACACUGGAACUGAGACACGGUCCAG
rnacentral:rRNA from 1 species